ACUCUUGACCGUUCCUUUGACUGCACAGUGGAGAUUGAUCGAGACGUAUAACCGUUUACUCUCUAUAAGCGAGCGAUGAUCGCCAACAAUCGCACGAUAAUUUGAUGCUUUCGCGUCGAAUCGCACAAAACUCUCAUAAGCUGAAAAGACGCAUUUUUGAGAAUAAAAUUGCGCUUGUUUCAAGAUGCCGCGACAAUGAACGACGAAAUGACAAGAUUGGAGCGAGCGAUACAUUAUUAUUGUCUUAUACAUGGCAUCAGAUUAUAAUAGAAAUUUAUAUAAAUAAGAAAUAGUAUGUGUUUGUACACUACUGAUGACAUUUAGAAAAAGUUAUACAUCUAAGGUCAAUAAUAUAUAUUAUCAAGAGAAUAGUGUGGUCUAAAACUAAAGAUUAAAGUUAUUUAACAUGUAUAUAUCGCCAUAUGAAUACUAUUUUCUCUUAUUAUUAGUCAUCCUUCCUGUAUAUCUUUUUUUCAAACUUUGGUCAUGGCUUGGGUGGGAAUUAUUUGUAAAUAAUUAAAAUUUUAAUAUUUGGAAACUCAACUUAGAUAGUAUUGUAGGCUGUCUAUCUAUCUCAUAUGUAUAUAUGUAUAUGUAAAU